CAGGCUUAACACAUGCAAGUCGAGGGGCAGCAUGGUCUUAGCUUGCUAAGGCCGAUGGCGACCGGCGCACGGGUGAGUAACACGUAUCCAACCUGCCGUCUACUCUUGGACAGCCUUCUGAAAGGAAGAUUAAUACAAGAUGGCAUCAUGAGUCCGCAUGUUCACAUGAUUAAAGGUAUUCCGGUAGACGAUGGGGAUGCGUUCCAUUAGAUAGUAGGCGGGGUAACGGCCCACCUAGUCUUCGAUGGAUAGGGGUUCUGAGAGGAAGGUCCCCCACAUUGGAACUGAGACACGGUCCAAACUCCUACGGGAGGCAGCAGUGAGGAAUAUUGGUCAAUGGGCGAGAGCCUGAACCAGCCAAGUAGCGUGAAGGACGACUGCCCUAUGGGUUGUAAACUUCUUUUAUAAAGGAAUAAAGUCGGGUAUGGAUACCCGUUUGCAUGUACUUUAUGAAUAAGGAUCGGCUAACUCCGUGCCAGCAGCCGCGGUAAUACGGAGGAUCCGAGCGUUAUCCGGAUUUAUUGGGUUUAAAGGGAGCGUAGAUGGAUGUUUAAGUCAGUUGUGAAAGUUUGCGGCUCAACCGUAAAAUUGCAGUUGAUACUGGAUAUCUUGAGUGCAGUUGAGGCAGGCGGAAUUCGUGGUGUAGCGGUGAAAUGCUUAGAUAUCACGAAGAACUCCGAUUGCGAAGGCAGCCUGCUAAGCUGCAACUGACAUUGAGGCUCGAAAGUGUGGGUAUCAAACAGGAUUAGAUACCCUGGUAGUCCACACGGUAAACGAUGAAUACUCGCUGUUUGCGAUAUACUGCAAGCGGCCAAGCGAAAGCGUUAAGUAUUCCACCUGGGGAGUACGCCGGCAACGGUGAAACUCAAAGGAAUUGACGGGGGCCCGCACAAGCGGAGGAACAUGUGGUUUAGUUCGAUGAUACGCGAGGAACCUUACCCGGGCUUAAAUUGCAGAUGAAUUACGGUGAAAGCCGUAAGCCGCAAGGCAUCUGUGAAGGUGCUGCAUGGUUGUCGUCAGCUCGUGCCGUGAGGUGUCGGCUUAAGUGCCAUAACGAGCGCAACCCUUGUUGUCAGUUACUAACAGGUUCCGCUGAGGACUCUGACAAGACUGCCAUCGUAAGAUGUGAGGAAGGUGGGGAUGACGUCAAAUCAGCACGGCCCUUACGUCCGGGGCUACACACGUGUUACAAUGGGGGGUACAGAGGGCCGCUACCACGCGAGUGGAUGCCAAUCCCCAAAACCUCUCUCAGUUCGGACUGGAGUCUGCAACCCGGCUCCACGAAGCUGGAUUCGCUAGUAAUCGCGCAUCAGCCACGGCGCGGUGAAUACGUUCCCGGGCCUUGUACACACCGCCCGUCAAGCCAUGGGAGCCGGGGGUACCUGAAGUGCGUAACCGCGAGGAGCGCCCUAGGGUAAAACUGGUGACUGGGGCUAAGUC
rnacentral:rRNA from 1 species